rnacentral:RNase_P_RNA from 1 species
GUAAGACGGAUGAUCGCGGCUGCUUGUAAAAGCAGGUGAGGAAAGUCCGGGCUUCAUAGGGCAGGAUGCCGGAUAACGUCCGGUGGAGGCGACUCCAAGGAUAGUGCAACAGAGAGAUACCGCUCGAUGCUGCCUGGCAGCAUUGUGGUAAGGGUGGAAAGGCAGUGUAAGAGACUACCGUUCUUCUGGUAACAGAAGAAGCCAUGUAAACCCCAUCCGAAGCAAGACCAAAAAGAGAGCGAUAGGUCGGCCCGGCCUGUUCUCAGGUAGGUCGCUUGAUGCGUCUGGCGACAGUCGUACUAGAUAGAUGAUCAUUCAAGACAUAACCCGGCUUAUAGUCUUGCUUG